rnacentral:rRNA from 1 species
AACGAACGCUGGCGGCAUGCCUAACACAUGCAAGUCGAACGAGACCUUCGGGUCUAGUGGCGCACGGGUGCGUAACGCGUGGGAACCUGCCCUUAGGUUCGGAAUAACUCCCCGAAAGGGGUGCUAAUACCGGAUAAUGUCUUCGGACCAAAGAUUUAUCGCCUUUGGAUGGGCCCGCGUUGGAUUAGCUAGUUGGUAGGGUAAAAGCCUACCAAGGCGACGAUCCAUAGCUGGUCUGAGAGGAUGAUCAGCCACACUGGGACUGAGACACGGCCCAGACUCCUACGGGAGGCAGCAGUGGGGAAUAUUGGACAAUGGGCGAAAGCCUGAUCCAGCAAUGCCGCGUGAGUGAUGAAGGCCUUAGAGUUGUAAAGCUCUUUUACCCGGGAUGAUAAUGACAGUACCGGGAGAAUAAGCUCCGGCUAACUCCG